AAAACUGUCAAACUCAAAGAUGUACUUUACUUUCUUAGCUUCAGAUCGUGAGAUGAUGUACUUGAGGGUUUCCAAACAUCCUAGGGUUUUCGCCUGCAAAGCCGAGCUUACUCGAACAAAUUUAGCCAGACCAUCCACGAUCUUGCCCGAAGAAUCUCAACAGAUGCUAGCAAUCGCUCCCUCCGUUGACCCGUCCACGAAUGAGCCAUCGAAGUUCCAUUUGAGAUAUCCCCGUUCUGGAGGUUGCCAAAUUGCAGAGUGGAUUCCACAGUCAUCUUCGCCUCUGGUUUUUUUCUUGAAGACUGCUUGAUUUCUUGAUAUCCAAAUAUUCCAAAGAGUGAUGGCCAUAAGCUCAAAAGAUAGAGAAUUUGAGGGUCCGACCAAACAUUGCUCGUCCAGGGACAUAGGAUGAGAAGGUGUUCUAUGGUUUCUGGUGCACUACGACACAGUGGACAAAGUGGCUCCGGUAAGAUUCUUCGCUUUGAAUAGAUUCUCGCUGGUAGGGAGUGCAUUUUGACAUACACUCCACAUGAAAAUUCGGAUCUUGGGGUAGGUUUUCAAAGACCAUAUCAUCUUCCAGAGUGCUUUGGGAACUUGGUAAGACGACGAGGCUUGGUUUACAUCCAAUUUGGACUCUGUAGCUUUGAGACAGUUAUAGCCACUUUUCACCGAAUAAUUUCCAAUUCGAGUGCCUGUCCAAACCAGUUUGUCUGCUAUAUCACCCCCUCUCAAGGGGGUAGUAAGAAUCUUAGCCACUGUUUGAUCAUCAAAUAAUUGACGCAGAGUUUGAUCUUUCCAUUGCGAAUUCUCUGAAUUGAUUAACUCUGCAACUAUCUGUGGUUCAUUCCAAUUUGCUGGUCCCCUAAUUAUGCCUUUUUUCAUCCAUUUAUCCUCUAUAAUUCUGAUUUGUUUUCCGUUUCCCACUGACCACAUCACUUCAUUAGAUAUAGCCUCUCUCCCCAUUAUUAGGCUCUUCCAUCCCCAAGAUGGUCUUGAUCCCUUUCCUGCAUGCCAAAAAUCUGUAUGUGGGAAAUAAAUUCCUUUUAGUAUCUUGCACCAGAGGGCCGUUGAAGAUUGUGCAAUUCUCCAAGCUUGCUUGCCUAGCAUAGCUUUGUUGAAUGUGAGUAAAUACCUGAAUCCAAGCCCUCCAUUGUCCUUCCUUUGCUUCAAUAGAUCCCAUUUCCUCCAAUGCAAUCCCGAUUUGGACUCGUUAUUUUUCCACCAGGAAGCAACAAUUUUUCUCUCUAUAGCUCUGCAUAUGGAAACUGGAAUUUUAAAUAUAGACAUAGCAUAUUGUGGAAUAGCCUGCACCACUGCUUUGAUUAAGAUUUCCUUCCCCGCUUUUGACAUUAGGUUCUCUUUCCAUCCUUCCAUCUUCAUAUUUACUCUAGCCAAUCUCCGUGCAAACAUUUGCUUUUUAGUUUGACCCCAAUCCGAAGGGAUACCCGGAUAUUUCCCUAUUUUAUCUAUUUCAGGAACCCUUAAUUCCUGUGCCAUAUUAGUUCUCAAAUUGUGCGGGCAGCCAGCGCUAAAAUGAAUCCUUGAUUUAUUCAAAUUUAUGGCUUGACUCGUUGCAAAGCAAUACUGAUGAAGAACAGCAGCUAAAUUUUGGCAUUUUGUUAUCUUUCCAUCCACAAAGAAAAUAGAUUCAUCAGCAAACAGUAGAUGGGUUAAAGUUGGACAGUGCCUAUUCAGUUUAAUUCCUCUAAAGCUCUCAUCUUCAACUGUUGUCCUAAUUAGAAAGGAUAAAACAUUUGCCAUCAAAAUAAACAAAUAUGGGGAAAGAGGGUCACCUUGCCUUAAUCCUCUUGAUGGUCUAAAAUAGGGAAGGGGUUCCCCGUUAAAUUUUAUACUGAAAGAUACUGAUUUGACACAUUGCAUGACCCAGGAUACCCAUUUAUUACCGAAACCCAUCUUUAACAUGCAAGCUUUCAGGAAAUCCUAUUCCACCCUGUCAUACACCUUCUGCAUAUCCAGCUUCAGUAUGGCAUGAAACUUCUUCUUCCUCUUUCUAAUUCUUAGCUGAUGAAUAACUUUUUGAACAACCAGAAUAUUGUCUUGGAUCUGUCUACCACUCACAAAGGCACUUUGUUCUAUGGCAAUUAACUCUGGUAACGAAGGUUUUAGGCGAUUUGUCAUUACCUUAGAAAUCAUCUUAUACGCAAAAUUACACAAACUGAUAGGUCGAAAUUGGUCUAACCUCUCCGGAUUCCGGACUUUAGGAAUGAGAGAAAUAUGCGUCUUGUUGAGGGUUGGGUCAAGGAUGCUUGUUUCGAAGAAAUUCUUUACCAUGUUGAACACAUCCUGUUGGAGAUCUUCCCAAUGAUGCUGAUAAAACUGGCCAUUCAUUCCAUCUGGUCCAGGAGCUUUCAUAGCCCCCAAUUGGAAAACCACUUCUUUAGCUUCCUUCAUCGUCACAGCUUCUGUCAGUUUUUGGUUCAUUUCUUCCAUUACCAAGCUGGGGCAUUGGUCUAAGAUUGGCUGAAAAUUUCUAGACCCCACUGUGGUAUAUAGAGACUGAAAAAAUUCCACUGUUGAUUCUUUAAGUUGAGUGGGAUCUCGAGUCCAUACGUUAUCAGCAAUCUGCAACAUAGUAAUUUUAUUUCUUUGCCUCCUUUGAACUGUCGUUGCAUGAAAGUACUGGGUAUUUUUAUCUCCCCAUUUUAGCCAAUUGAUUCAAGAUCUCAUCCCCCAAUACAUCUCUUCUUGUGUCCAAAGCUCGUCAAUCUGCUUAUUCAGGUGUUGCAUUCUUGCUCUGUCUUGUGACACAUCCUGGCUAUUCAUGAUUUCCUGGAGUUCCUUUUUCAAGUUGUUGAUCUGUCGCUGAACAUUGGAGAACUUUUUUCUACUCCAUUCUGUCAGAGCAACUGUGACUUUGUGUAUUUUUUCCUGCAAAUCGGUAUUUUCCAAUUCAGGGAUCUUCCAUGCAUCUUUAACAAUUUUUCCACAUUCAGCAUCCUCAAGCCAGAAAGCUUCGAACUUAAAUUCUCUCUUCUUUUUCACUGGUUCAGCAAAGAGUGACAAUAAGAGUGGACUGUGAUCUGAGCCAAUAGCUGGCAAUACAUAAGCUUCAGCAUUAGGAAAUAGAACUCUCCAUUCAAAGAGAUUAGAUAGAGUGUUGUGUCCAGUAUAGUUGAUUGGUCACCUUUAGGCAUAAAAGUAAGCCCCCAAGAGAUUCCAGAGCCAGAGGAACUCCCUUGCAUUUGUUGACAAUAUUGAUUGCGAUUGCGAUUGCGAAAUGCGCAUUGUCUUACAUGCGAUCAGGUUCCCAUUUGAGGAAAAGCAAGAGUGUCCUGAGAAGAAAGGCUUUGAACUCGAAUGCUAAUACAGAUCCCAUUAGGGAAUUGACUUCGUGACUGCGGGUUGUGGCAACCAGGCAAUUUCCUGAACAAAUCUCUCAUAUCAUUCCACAUGCUAUGAGUCCAACC